UCAGUUUCUCGGCCUAUUGGCUAAGAUCAAUUGUAGUACAUGUUCUUAUCAGUUUAAUAUCUGGUAGUGUUCCAUGGGUUCACACGAUAUAUACUAAUUUUUGUAGGGAAAAAGUCUAUUGAGAUAGCUUGCUAUUUAGGCUUUCGCGAGUCGGCCAUGCGUUACACUAUUGCAUGGCUCUAACUCAUCCCAC
rfam:Arabis alpina cultivar Pajares Aa.chr6_contig_2181, whole genome shotgun sequence.